AUAUAGCACCGAAGCUGCGGCAUCAGGCGUAUCACUAAUACGCCUUACGAUUAACAAGCUAGAAUGGCGCGAAGCGUCAUGAAAGGUUGUUCAAGCAACCCGAACGUUGAGUCGGGCAUCUUAGAGUGAGGAUGAUUAGUGAUACGCCUGUUGGGUAGGGGAGCGUUGUGUAAGCGGAUGAAGGUUAAUCGAGAGGUUAGUUGGACGUAUCACAAGUGCGAAUGCUGACAUAAGUAACGAUAAAACGGGUGAAAAACCCGUUCGCCGGAAGACCAAGGGUUCCUGUCCAACGUUAAUCGGGGCAGGGUGAGUCGGCCCCUAAGGCGAGGCUGAGAAGCGUAGUCGAUGGGAAACAGGUUAAUAUUCCUGUACUUGGUAAAGCUGCGAUGUGGGGACGGAGUAGGUUAGGUUAUCGCACUGUUGGAUAUGUGCGUUUAAGUUGGU
rnacentral:rRNA from 1 species